CCUUAGAUGUUCUGGGCCGCACGCGCGCUACACUGACAGAGCCAACGAGUAUAAACCUUGCCCGAGAGGGUUGGGUAAUCUUGUUAAACUCUGUCGUGCUGGGGAUAGAGCAUUGCAAUUAUUGCUCUUCAACGAGGAAUAUCUAGUAAGCGCAAGUCAUCAGCUUGCGUUGAUUACGUCCCUGCCCUUUGUACACACCGCCCGUCGCUACUACCGAUUGAAUGGCUCAGUGAGGCUUUCGGACUGGCUCAGGGAGGUCGGCAACGACCACCCAGAGCCGGAAAGUUAGUCAAACUUGGUCAUUUAGAGGAAGUAAAAGUCGUAACAAGGUUUUGAGAUUAUCUGAGAGAUCCUUCUCGCAGUGACGCAUCCCGGAAGCCUUUGUGACCCUGCAAAACGGGUACCUGCCGCGACUAUAAAGAAGAAUGUUAGGUAUGAAAUCGCAAGUCAUUUGAUGGCUACACUUUCGAAUUGCGGGGACUCCCUAAAGCCUUUUCCACCAAGCCGGUAAGCAAACUUGCCGGUGGCCCGAUUAAUUAUCAGGGGUAUGGUAACAGAGAAAAUGGAUGAACAAUGGGUAAUCCGCAGCCAAGAUCCUACCGCAAGCACUUGCUACGGAGAAGGUUCACAGACUAAGUGGAAGUGGGUUGGCCUUCACACAGGCAACUUAAGAUAGAGUCGGGCCCUUCGAGAAAUCGUUGGGGAGUCACUAUUGACUACCGCACCGUUCCGUAGGUGAACCUGCGGAAGGAUCAUUAAGAAACUUCUUAGCAGUCAACCGUCACCGGUCUUGACAGCGCCUUUGCCUUGACUUCGGUCCUGGCCUAGGUUAAACCCUUUGUGAACCAUAACAGAACAUUUCGCUUCGGUAGCAGGUGCCUCUCACCGGGUGCCGUCAGCCUGCCGGCAGCAACCAAACCAAACCCUUUAUGUUUAAAAUAUAUUGUCUGACCGAAAUUUUCGAAUGAAAAUUAAAACUUUCAACAACGGAUCUCUUGGUUCUCGCAUCGAUGAAGAACGCAGCGAAACGCGAUAGUUAAUGUGAAUUGCAGAAUUCAGUGAAUCAUCGAGUCUUUGAACGCACAUUGCGCCCCCUGGUAUUCCGGCGGGCAUGUCUGUUUGAGCGUCAUUUCAACACCUCGUCCUUUGGCUUCUGUCAACAGGUAACAGUCAUGGGCUUUCGUCACCCGCUUCGGUGGGGACGGGCCUUAAAGUUGAACGCUCUGCGGGUGACUCAUAGCCAAACCGAACUAGUAAAUCUUUAUCUGUUGGGUGAGGUAAGAGGAUCGCUUCGCCUGAACAAAACCAUUACAUUUCUAAGGUUUGACCUCAGAUCAGACAAGGAUACCCGCUGAACUUAAGCAUAUCAAUAAGCGGAGGAAAAGAAACCAACAGGGAUUGCCUUAGUAACGGCGAGUGAAGCGGCAACAGCUCAAAUUUGAAAUCUGGAGUCUUCGACUUCCGAGUUGUAAUUUGAAGAGGAUGCUUCGGUUGUAGCUCCGGCCUAAGUUCCUUGGAACAGGACGUCGCAGAGGGUGAGAAUCCCGUACGCGGCUGGCGGCUUACUUCCAUGUGUAGCUCCUUCGAAGAGUCGAGUUGUUUGGGAAUGCAGCUCUAAAUGGGUGGUAAAUUUCAUCUAAAGCUAAAUACUGGCGAGAGACCGAUAGCGCACAAGUAGAGUGAUCGAAAGAUGAAAAGCACUUUGAAAAGAGAGUUAAACAGUACGUGAAAUUGUUGAAAGGGAAGCGCUUGCAAUCAGACUUGCUUGCGGUUGAUCAACGUUCCUUUUGGUUCGUGCACUCUGCCGUUCGCAGGCCAGCAUCGGUUGCCGCCGUGGGACAAAGACUCAGGGAAUGUGGCUCUCUUCGGGGAGUGUUAUAGCCCUGUGUGUAAUGCCACGAGCGGCGACCGAGGACCGCGCUUUUUGCUAGGAUGCUGGCUUAAUGGUUGUAAGCGAC
rnacentral:rRNA from 1 species